AAUGGUUGAAUGCACUUAUUGUACGUCGCUUUGGAUAAAAGCGUCAGCUAAAUGACAUGUAAUGUAAUGUAAUGAAUAAAAAGAGAUUACUAGCCUGGCACAGCCAUCCCCACUACUAUAUCCACACUACUAUAUCAACACUUGAUUCCUGGCACAUAUUUGUUUAGCUUUACUAGUGGUUUGCAAAAGUAUUAAUCGAGUCUUCACACUUUGUUUUAAUUUGAAAUAUCACAGAUAUUCCAUUUAUUUAUUUUCAAACAAAAAUAACAUCAAAGCUGUCAAGGUAAGAAACAUCUGCCUAGUUGAGGUGAUUGACAGUACAAUUACAUUUUCUAAGUAACUUGCCCAACACUGUCAGCACCGACUUCGCCUCAGGCAACAUCGCAACAAGUGAGUAAAUCGGAAGUGAACUGAACAAACCCUGCGAUAUUCAGUAAAUGGCAUGAUGUGCUGCUGUCUGCUUUUCUCUGUGAUAUAAUUUUACAAAAUAUGUAGCAAAUUAAAAGAGCCUUCAUAUUUCAUAUUUAUAGCAAUUAAAAUCAGUGUGCUUACCGUAUCAGUGUGAACUGUGUGCUUGCUUCUGGCUGGUGAGAAGUUCAAUGUCUGGUUGCAGUCUAGUGGUAGCCAGUCUCAAGGUCUGAUGCAAGUGUUUAUCUGUGAGUCCGAGAGACUCCUUAGCUAAUGCUCAACCCUCAAAAUACGAUAUAAUUAAUUAUGGUAGGUUUAUCAAAAGUACUUUAGUUAUCAAACCACACCCACUGUCCGGUUGAGAUUCCUUCACGGUGUGACAUUAUUUCCUGUUUUAUUCGACUCUCGUGUCGCUAGGUUGUUUUCACUUGCUGCUCUGGUGUGUUUCUCCCCCUCUGGGAUUGUCUGCCGUGUCCCUGAUUGUUUUCUCCUCUGUCCAAGCAGCUGUACCUUCCCGGUGCAUUUAAACCAUGCGUGUCCCUUGUCUUCUGGCCGGUUCCUUACUCGCGUUAUUGACAAAUUGUCUCAAACAAUCUUUUUCACAAACUUUUAAAGGGAUUGAUGCUUAUUUAGUUAUGAUUAUUUAUGUGGGUGAAAUGUCACAUUUUCAAAAGGGCUUUAAGAGGAGGAGACUUUUGCUCCUCUUAUUUGGAUAUGGUUUUAAGUUUAAUUUGAAAGAUUCCACAACUCAUUAAGGAAACGUCUGUCCUUAUCCAUGUUUUGCCAGCUGUCGGCAUAAUAGUGAGGUCUUAGAAGUAUUCUAGAAAAAAGCCUUCAAUUAAUGUCAGUAAUUUAAAAGACACACACAUUCAGAAUGUCCCUCAUGCAGGACAGACAAACCAGUUAUGCUUGAGUUAAAGAUAGGAAGCCCAGUAGACCAGAGCUUGUGACUUCAUUAGUUGGGAGGCGACUUCCUUACGCUUGACAAGCACAUCUUAUGUCGUCCCUGCAUUUUCAUGAAAUAAAUGAAGGCACUAAUAGGAAGAGGCGUUCCCUGACUUUCCUCUGCAGUCUAAUUUGUCUUUGACUGUGUCCUUCAAAAAAAGUUUCUGGAAGUGCUUGUUCGAUCUGCUUUUACACUCUGCAUGAAUCAGUCUGCUCCAUUAGAUUAUAAGCCUGCAAUACUGUGGGCCCCAAGAUUGUCUGACCCCACACAAUGAAAACAGCCAUUCAAACUUUUUUCCCCAACAUGGCAAUAAAUAGUCCUUGUUGUUCGAUUAUCAACGUGUGCUGGAAGGUCUAUGACCGUCAUCCCCAUCAACGCGUAGCCCUUUUACAGGCAAUGGAGGAGGCAUGUGGGAAUAUUGACCAGGCAUCAUGUCAGGGCUGGAUACGGC
ensembl:lncRNA